AAACGACUCUCGGCAACGGAUAUCUCGGCUCACGCAUCGAUGAAGAACGUAGCAAAAUGCGAUACUUGGUGUGAAUUGCAGAAUCCCGUGAACCAUCGAGUUUUUGAACGCAAGUUGCGCCCGAAGCCUUUUGGCCAAGGGCA
rnacentral:rRNA from 1 species